rnacentral:rRNA from 1 species
CCCUUAGAUGUUCUGGGCCGCACGCGCGCUACACUGAUGAAUGCAACGAGCUCUACCCUUGACCGAAAGGCCCGGGUAAACUUGUGAAACUUCAUCGUGAUGGGGAUAGAUUAUUGCAAUUAUUAAUCUUCAACGAGGAAUUACUAGUAAGCGCGAGUCAUCAGCUCGCGUUGAUUACGUCCCUGCCCUUUGUACACACCGCCCGUCGCUCCUACCGAUUGAAUGGUCCGGUGAAAUCUUCGGAUUGCUGACCAAGAUCCAGCAAUGGAGCUUGGUUGCGAGAAGUUGAUUAAACCUUAUUAUUUAGAGGAAGGAGAAGUCGUAACA